UGACUACCUGCGUGUUUCUCAAUGGAUUUCUAGCCGUAGGGUUGUCUCUGAUAUCAGAAUUAGUUUGCCAAAAAUGGUGCUUCCUGAGAUGGAGGUUUACUCUAUCCCAAGUCUGUCUUUAUCACAAAUCAAGGCUUAUUUCCACCUGUCUUCUGCCUCACUUUUCUGUUUUUGCCUGUCUGGUGACGAGUGUGAGUAUUAACAUUGAGUGGGGUUUGCCUAUGGCUAGUAUAUUGGAAGAUACUGGGGAAGAGACACCCCGGCAGGUGGGUAUACUAUUUCAUUGUUGGACUGCAUGCAGCUGUUGCUGUUUUGGCUGCUCUUUUAGCAAGAUUUUUUACUGGAUAUACGAAAAAUCCAAAUGGCACCAUUCAGUUUAAGGCUGGGAAGACUAUCGCUAGCAUUAUUGUAGAUGGAGUGAUCGAAAAAAUCACUGCAGCAGUUACCGUUGUAGCAGUUGCAGUACCUAAGGGCCUUCCUUUAGCUGCUAAACUGACGUAAGUUUGUCCACUAUGAAGAACAGACUUCUUA